UCAUAAGCAUUUGAAAUAGUGAACUCCAAUCUUGUCAAGCUUUUAUAUUUGAUUAAAUCCAUUCUACUAUUUUUAGUGACAUUUACUCACAAGAUAAUUUUCCAAACAAAACAACCUUGUUACUUUCUAAACUUAUAACAUUUGGAUUAUAGAACGGAGGUAAUAUCAACCAAUCUCUGUGGAUACGAUAUAAAAUAUUUGCCGAAGAUAUACUUUUCAACAGCCAUUGAAAACGAAAUUGCCGAUGCAAAAGAGACAUUCACUGUACAUUAUUCACACAUCUCAACUUCGUUCCAUUUGUUUCUCAUUUGAAACCUUCACAACUCUUAUUUCAUAAAUCAAUUUUUGUUUUUCACUAUUUUUCUUCCAAGCAAGCAUUCAUUUUCAUUUUCUCUAUUUUUUCUUUUCUUUCACAUCAUAUUUACAAAACAGAUGUUUCUCUUUUCUAUUUUUUUAUUUUCAAUGCUUGCUCGGUUUUUCAAGAGUUGUGGCACUUACCGAUUCUCUUUUUCGUUCUCCCCAACUUAUUUCUUACUCACCCUAAGUGAAUGCUCUUGACUUUUUACGGCAAAAGAACAAUUAUCAAAAAAUUUCGGGUUUCAAGAAAAAAG
rnacentral:lncRNA from 1 species